GACGAACGCUGGCGGCGUGCUUAACACAUGCAAGUCGAGCGGUAAGGCCCUUUCGGGGGUACACGAGCGGCGAACGGGUGAGUAACACGUGGGUGACCUGCCCUCAGCUCUGGGAUAAGCCUGGGAAACCGGGUCUAAUACCGGAUAUGACUCCAUGACGCAUGUUGUGGGGUGGAAAGCCUUGUGCGGCUGAGGAUGGGCCCGCGGCCUAUCAGCUUGUUGGUGGGGUGAUGGCCUACCAAGGCGACGAUCGGUAGCUGGUCUUAGAGGAUGAUCAGCCAGACUGGGACUGAGACACGGCCCAGACUCCUACGGGAGGCAGCAGUUAGGAAUUUGGGCAAUGGGCGCAAGCCUGACCCAGCAACGCCGCGUGGGUGACGAAGGCCU
rnacentral:rRNA from 1 species